AGUCGAGCGAACAGACGAGGAGCUUGCUCCUCUGACGUUAGCGGCGGACGGGUGAGUAACACGUGGAUAACCUACCUAUAAGACUGGGAUAACUUCGGGAAACCGGAGCUAAUACCGGAUAAUAUAUUGAACCGCAUGGUUCAAUAGUGAAAGACGGUUUUGCUGUCACUUAUAGAUGGAUCCGCGCCGCAUUAGCUAGUUGGUAAGGUAACGGCUUACCAAGGCGACGAUGCGUAGCCGACCUGAGAGGGUGAUCGGCCACACUGGAACUGAGACACGGUCCAGACUCCUACGGGAGGCAGCAGUAGGGAAUCUUCCGCAAUGGGCGAAAGCCUGACGGAGCAACGCCGCGUGAGUGACGAAGGUCUUCGGAUCGUAAAACUCUGUUAUUAGGGAAGAACAAAUGUGUAAGUAACUAUGCACGUCUUGACGGUACCUAAUCAGAAAGCCACGGCUAACUACGUGCCAGCAGCCGCGGUAAUACGUAGGUGGCAAGCGUUAUCCGGAAUUAUUGGGCGUAAAGCGCGCGUAGGCGGUUUUUUAAGUCUGAUGUGAAAGCCCACGGCUCAACCGUGGAGGGUCAUUGGAAACUGGAAAACUUGAGUGCAGAAGAGGAAAGUGGAAUUCCAUGUGUAGCGGUGAAAUGCGCAGAGAUAUGGAGGAACACCAGUGGCGAAGGCGACUUUCUGGUCUGUAACUGACGCUGAUGUGCGAAA
rnacentral:rRNA from 1 species